CCUUCGAUAGCUCAGUUGGUAGAGCGGUGGACUGUAGUUGAUGCCCGCAAGGUCAAAUAGUAAUCCAUAGGUCGCUGGUUCAAAUCCGGCUCGAAGGA
rnacentral:tRNA from 2 species